GCCGCAUUAGCACAAUGGUAGUGCGUCGCUUUCCUAUGGAUGUUGAAAGUUCCAAGAGUUGCAUUUGGAGGCGAAGGUUGCGGGUUCGAGUCCCGUGUGUGGUU